AAAAAUGCAUGUGCUCGCAUUAUUAAAGGUGGAUCGGCAUUAUAUGGAGGCUGCAAAAUUAAAACAGCUCCUUGGAGGUCGGAGAAACAUUCUGCUUCUAAAGAUGACAUCUUGUCAAAAGGCAAUCUGGAUUGGAAUGCUGCACCUUCCAAGCUGUAACAUAAUAUACAGGCUCUCAUCAGAGUAACCAGCAAUUUCUUGUGGUAUAAUAGAACUUUCAUCAAUUGUACCACAUGGACG